ensembl:lncRNA
AUUGAUUUAGGUGGCUCUACAGAAAGAAAUAAAAAGCCAAGAAAGAAUGUAAAAAAAUAGACAGUUCUUGCUAUGGAGCUAGGUUACUCUUUCACCCAUUAUGUACUCAAGUUUCUUAAGGCUACAUAAAUGGAAACUGAACAACAGAUGCAACAAUCUGUGGAAACUUGGAUGCACUGUAAAUCUACUGGGAUUAUAUCUGGGAAGACAAUGUUUGCAUUCAGGAUAAGGUACUUUCAACAUCACAAGACGUGCCAGACUGCAAGGGCACACUGAAGCCAGCGAUGGCCAAAUUAAACAGCGUCUGGCAAAGUAACGACUCAAGACAGGCUGAGGGAGCCUGCUGGGCCUGGCUUCUGUGGUUUCUUCUCCCCAGAUGAAAGACUCAAAGUGCACAUUAUCACAAACGUACACAUUUGCUUUGACAAACUACCCUUGCAGCUGUAUGCAGUGUUUAGAUGUUUUUCAUUUCUGAGAUGCAUUCUGGAAGUGAAUGGCUCUGGUCAUGUGACAAAUUGCAUCAUCCAUCCAUCCAUCCAUCCAGUUUUAAUAUCACUUAUUCUACACAGACGAGCCUGGAGCCUAUCCCUUGGAUCUCAGGGCACAAGGUGGAGGACACUGGAGUACCUGGAGGAAACCCCAAAAGAAUGGGGAGAACAUAUAAAUUCCAUGCACCAAGGCUGGAGGCGGGAAUCAAACCCCCAACCCUUGAGGUGUGAGGCAAACGUGAUUGAUAGGGUGGCAAGAGAAAGAUCCUCCAUAAUGACUUCCCUUGGGCUGCUCAUUGAAGUUCACAAAAUAACACAACAUUAGAUCUCAUCCUCUGUGCAGUGCGCUGUAACACCAGAGAGGAAUCAUGUUCAGGGUGUGCAAAUGAACAAAACCGCAACUGAGUGCCUGUACCAGCCAGCACGCUACUCAAAUACCAUGACGGCAUUGAGUGUGAUGGAACACUGGCUCCGAGUUAUGUCUGUUUGUCUGCGUUAUCUUGCAUCUUAUAAUCAAAAUGAGAACUCAUCACUACCCUCAUUUGCCUGUAAUACCAAGUGUUAGAGAAAACAUGAGGGCUUACAGAGAGCAGAGAUCUCAGGAGUGAUGUAAAUCUUCAUCAGACUUUCUUCUUUCUUUCUUUGUAAGAUAAAUGAUGUUUUUUGUUUUUAAGAUAACAUGUUUUGCCUUUUUCUGUUGAUUUUUGAAACCUCUCAGAGUAUCGGCUCAGACAUCAGGUCAAUCUUCCCAUUAUGUUGUGUUUCUGUCUGUGUGUUAGAUACAGACUAAGAAAAGUGAUGGAAACCCAUGAGAGUGCAAGGCAGAACUUAGAGAUAAUGCUGAUGGAGGAGUCAGUUUUCACUGACACAGGCCUCUUAGGUGCAUGUAAAGGGAACGGAGAAUGGGAAACGGACCAAUUAUGGGCUUGAACAACAUGUUUAAACACUUAUGCUCUACAUUACGCACUGUCAACUUGUGCAUCAUGGGCCAGAUACAGAGCCAGCCAAGCUUUUUCAGCAGACCGGACUGAGUACAUGGGAAAAAAAUACUGUUGUACAGCUGCUAAACACACUUUACCAACAAGCAUGUAUUAAUGUACAAUUUUUUUUUCAUUUCAUUUACCCUCUCUGGUCUGGUUAGUGAAACGACGACAUGGCUUGUUUAAAAAAAAAUAAAAAAUAAAUAAAUAAAAGAUGAUGAAAACUUUGAAACGUUUAAAGAUGAUUGGACAGAGAAGUAUGUGCUUAUUCUCCCCGUGUCAAAUUCCGAACAGAUGUGUUUUAUGAGUCUAUGGUGCAAGUUAAAAGUGGUAUGUGAGUGUUGGACAAAACAUAACCACUUCAAAUGAUCUUAUUAAUAGCCAUAAAAUAGUCAUUCAUGUUUAAGCAUUAAGAGUAUUAGUGGAAAUGUAGAGCUCUACAUCAU